CCUCCCACCAAGCCCAGCUCCAUACUGGGGCUCUCUCUUGGUGGGCUGUGCUGACACCUCGGCUUAUUCUCAUUUUGACAGAAUUAAGCUGCUGGUUUCCACCUGGAUAACACGCACCCAGUGCCAGGGCCCUGAGGCCUCCGCAGGCCUUAACGGUCCUGACCAGCUUCACCUGGGGCCUCCACCACACCCCCAUACACCGGGCACAUGGGCUGCAUUUAAGCUCAGCUCUGGGCCUUUGAAACCUUUCCUGAGCUGUGGUGUGGGAGUGUUGGUCUCCAGCUGAGCCCAGCCAUGACUGCUAUGGACCUGCUGAUCCUGACCUGUGCGCUGAUGUCCCAGCUUAGCCUCUCUCCAGUCUCGCCACCAUGGACCUGCCUGAUGAUCUGGACUCCUGACCGAACCUGGUUACUGCACCAGGCUUGCUCUGCUCACCUCGCUCAGACUUUUGUCCCUCGCCCUGGUAGAGUGAGGUUCUGUGGAAAAACUGAGGCAAGCAAGCACUGCUUUUUAAGAAAACACUUCCUUUCAGGUAAGGAGCUGUACAGCUCAGUGAAACAUGUCUGACAGUUUUCUGCUUUCAUAAAUAUUCAAAAGCAGCCAUACUGUGAGCUGACUAAUCUGAAGACCUCCUCCUGAACACAGCUUUCCACUCAGGUCCUUUUGCAGACAAGAAUCUUGAACUGUAGCUUCUUCCUGGGAUGGGCAGAUGUUAACCAGAGCCCCAGCAUGGGAAACUGAGGCAGGACGACUCACCAGGAGCUCACUGGGCAAGUCGAGGCACAGCAGAGCUGAACUCAGGAGUUUCCAGCACCCACUCAUGACCUUAUCAUGGGAGGUCUCCAGCUGCUGGAGCUCCAGGAAGCCUUUGAGGCCAGCCUGGUCUUUCCAAGAAAAGGUGAGGCGGCAAAGCGAAGAAUGUGGCCAGAGUUUAGAUGUUCCUCUGAGCCAGCCGAAAGGAUGUGGAGCAAAGAGCGCCCCAAGUUGCACCCAUGGGGGAGGCUACAGCUUCUGCAGGUGAUGGGAGCUGGUGGGGUACAGGCAGCAGCUCUUUAGCUGGGGGUUUCUACCUCUGACAACAGCCAAGCUGUUCUGGGACAAAGCUGCUUCGUCUGCUUUUUAAAAAGGGUGGGAUAAAAGCAGCCUUUUCAUUGCCUCCUCCCUGUUAAAAAGAUAUGUGAUGCUGCUGAGCUCCAUCCUGAGGCACACAAGCAGCCUCACAGCCCAGUGCAAGGUGACAUCAUCUGGCCUUUGGUGCCUCUCUGACAAAAGCACCAUUGUGUGACUGUCACUUCCAGGAGCCCCCCGCUGUCCCCAGGUUUAAUAGGGAGCUUUCCCACACACAGCCAUUCUGCCCUUCUCUUGCCAGCGUGGGCCAGCCCCACUUCACAGGGAAGCUGGGUCUUUUUUUCCCUCCCUACCUCUAUUCACUUACAGGAAAAAACAAAUUACCUUUUCUGUCCACAGUGCUGCCCAUCUGCAAGGGGAGGCUGGAGGGAGAGCUGGGGGAGCCAGCCAUGGAGCUCUGGCAGUGAAUUUGCACUGAAAACCAGGAGGGCAGUCUGGCUGCUGCCUUCCUGGCCAUGCUGAGCCCCACGAUGCGCCUUCACCCUGGGGGGAGCACCUGCUGUGUGCAGUGCACAGGUACAGCUGUCAUUGUGCCACGCUGUCCUUCAGCAGCUGCUUGGAGCUAAUGCUCUUUCCCUGCUCUUAAGCUUGGGUUAUUAAUUAGUUUCAGUAAUUGAAGUGGUGUCUUGGGACCCUACCCCAAAGGAAUCUCAUGUACCAGGCACUGAGUGUACGUGAGCAUAGCUCCUACCCCAAAACUGCUAAAUUAUUGCAGAUAAGGAGUGCUUGGUUCAUCAGAAGCAAGUCAAAUUCACCUGAAAUAACCCUUACAAGUGACACUGCAAUUAUGCACUGAGGCACCUUCAAGUAAUUCUGUAUUUCCCUAUAAAAAUCACUGCUGAGGCUCUGGCAGAGAAGGUC